rnacentral:lncRNA from 1 species
AGGGAGACAUCUCAAAUAGAUUAUAACUAAGAACCAAUCAAAAUGUAUGGAUAAUCCAGCCUAUAAAAUGUGACCCAUAAAGAAGAUGUUGGUAACUGGCCUUCUCACAAAUGAAACGCUUGUCUUGUUGCUGCUGACAAUAAGGAUGUACAUCUUCUUCAAUUAAAUCAUUGUGACAUUUCAACGGAAGGGAUGUUAAGAUGUUUAUUUCCAAUUACUUUACGCUCUGCUAUCUAUAAAUGUUUGAAAAUAUAAAUUACUCUCCAUUUCUAAUAUCGUCCUUUUUCCUAAUUGAGGAUUUCUUUUAUCUAAUCGGUAGGGCCUAAACUUUUACAAGAAGUAGAUCUCCACACCCGUGAUGAAGUUGCGUUUAUGCUUGAGAACAGCCUCUAUAGUCUUGGGGGCUGGAGGCAGGUUGCUGCUGAAUACAACAUGAAAGAGAGUAAAAUAACAGGUCUUGUCAAUUCCAGGGAACCUGGAAAAGACGUCAUGGAGUUUCUGGGUGGUUGCAAACCAAACCUAACGGUUUACAAUUUCUGCAAAGUUCUAAAGCACCAUAAAAUGCAACGUUUUGAUAUUGCCAAGCUCUUAGAAGAUCAUUUUUUGGUUGAAGAUGGAGCUGGGUAAUGAGUAUCUAUGAUCUUGUCAAGUUUUAUUCUCACGAAAUUUCCGAUACUUCGAGCCUGCGAUCUUGUUUUUGCACAAACGCCGCUUACCAGGGUCUGAAGCAUCCAAUGAAACAACACAACAAUCAUCCCUUCGUACCAGACUUCUCUCAUCGUUAUCUUACAGAGGAUGUCCCGUAUGGACUGGCGGUUAUCAAGGGUAUAGCAGAAAUCGUACAAGUGGACACGCCUACCAUAGACAAAAUUCUCCUAUGGGCUCAAGAAAAAAUGGGAAAAGAGUACUUUGUCGGGUCUAAACGCCAAGGAAAAGAUUUUUCUUUCUACGCGAUCACCUUAAAGUUAUGGACUGACCUCGUUGGACGCUAUUUUGGGAAGAGCCUAGUUUGUAGCUCUUUAAAGGUGUAUUAGGUUCAAUGAGCCUGGUUCAAUAAGUCAUAAACUCGUUAACAAAGACCGACAAUCCUUGUCGAUGACCUCUAUGUUACGCGAGGCUUUCAUAAGGGAAAGUAUUGUCUGACAGAGGCUACUUUGAAUUUAAUUCAGAACGACUUGUUUUAUCGGGGAUAAGGUUUUGAGUCUCAGCGACAGCCGUAGUGUCGUAAAACCAAAACCAAAGUAAUCACAACAACUGCCAAUCAUAUCAGUGGAACAUAUGACAAGGAGGCAAUAAGAACUCAAAAUAAAAAACAUAGGCAUGCUGAGCAUGCAAGAGUUUAUUUUUUGGAAUUAGUGGUAUGGGCUGGGAUACUUUGUGCAACCAUUGUAUUAAUUUUUAGUUCCAAGAAAAAAGCAUUAAUUUUCAAAGAUGCCAACCAAACUGUCGCAUUACUUUACUUGCUGGGAAAGCAGAAAACCUUCCAAAUUUAUUUGAAAUAACCUCUAACAGGUUUACAGCCUACUGUCUCUGUUGUUGGAACAGUAACAAGAAAAGUGAAAUGCAUCAGUGUCACGCUUACCGCCCUUUCAUCAAUGAAUCAAAAUUAUUGUCAUUUGCCUCAGUCCGAAAAAUUUUACCACAUAAUUUGACAGUGGAAAGCAAACCCGAACUAUUUUAUCCCCAAUAAAUCCUAACAGAAGA